rnacentral:misc_RNA from 1 species
GAAAUGCGAUACGUAGUGUGAAUUGCAGAAUUCCGUGAAUCAUCGAAUCUUUGAACGCAUAUUGCGCUCGAGGCUUCGGCCGAGAGCAUGUCUGCCUCAGCGUCGGGUUAAAAUCACUCCCUCUCUCCCCUGUGGGAGAGCAGACAGUGGAUCUGGCUGUUCCAGUUCAGUGAUCCGAAUUUCGGUUCGGGUCCCCUGGAUCAGCUGAAGCACAGAGGCUAACCAAGGACCCGUUACGGGCCGCAACUGGGUAGGCACUCGUUGCUACAUCUUAGUUGUUGGUCUGGGACCCUGUGUUCGGCCCUCUAACCAGGAACCUUAACCCUUUUAUCUCGACCUGAGCUUAGGCAAGAACACCCGCUGAACUUAA